rnacentral:rRNA from 1 species
GAUGAACGCUGGCGGCGUGCUUAACACAUGCAAGUCGAACGGUGAACACGGAGCUUGCUCUGUGGGAUCAGUGGCGAACGGGUGAGUAACACGUGAGCAACCUGCCCCUGACUCUGGGAUAAGCGCUGAAACGGCGUCUAAUACUGGAUAUGUGACGUGACCGCAUGGUCUGCGUUUGGAAAGAUUUUUCGGUUGGGGAUGGGCUCGCGGCCUAUCAGCUUGUUGGUGAGGUAAUGGCUCACCAAGGCGUCGACGGGUAGCCGGCCUGAGAGGGUGACCGGCCACACUGGGAUUGAGACACGGCCCAGACUCCUACGGGAGGCAGCAGUGGGGAAUAUUGCACAAUGGGCGAAAGCCUGAUGCAGCAACGCCGCGUGAGGGAUGACGGCCUUCGGGUUGUAAACCUUUUUUAGCAGGGAAGAAGCGAAAGUGACGGUACCUGCAGAAAAAGCGCCGGCUAACUACGUG